rnacentral:tRNA from 1 species
GCUUUCGUGAUGUAACGGUAGCACACUGGGCUCGGAUUCGAGAGGCCCAGGUUCGAGUUCUGGCAAUGGCA